UGAGCGAUGCUUAACCAACUGAGCCACCCAGGCGCCCCGCUUUAAUGAAAUUUUAAAUGACAGCCUUCAAAGUGUACGUGAAUCUCAGAGACAGCAGCCAGCUCUUACCAAGUCCUCAGGCUUGAAACCUAAGUUUUAUUGUAAUUUGGCUUUGGAGGCUUUGUGUUCACUGGGUGAGAAUAUAAAAAGGACUUGGAAGACAAGUGUAAUGCAGUGAGGUCUGUGAAAGCAACAAAGGAAGCAGAAGUCAAACAGCUGAAGGAGAAAGCACGUAACCUGGAAGAAUUCUAUGAACAAAGAAAAGUGGCUACAGAGGAGUAAGAUGUUCACGUGACUGUCACAAGUACUGUCAUAUGAAUGAAUGUGGCAGCCAAGCAAGACUUGGAUCGAGGAGAGGGAGAUGGCAGAGCAGAGCAGGGAGGCCGCCUACUUGACAUACAGGACUGGAUGUGAUGGAAGGAAAGAGACUGCCUGAUGGAUACAUGAGGCAGAAACCAGUGCCUGGAAGACCAGAGGCACAGACCCUCCAA